UUUAAUAUGGCAGAUAAGUGCUAUGAAUUUAAGAUUCAUAAAUUUAGUUUCAAUAACUUUUAUUAAAA
rnacentral:tRNA from 1 species